CAGUCGCCGCGGGAAUACGUAGGGGGCAAGCGUUGUCCGGAAUUAUUGGGCGUAAAGCGCGCGCAGGCGGUUUUUUAAGUCUGGUGUCUAAGUGCGGGGCUCAACCCCGUGACGCACUGGAAACUGGGAGACUUGAGUGCAGAAGAGGAGAGCGGAAUUCCACGUGUAGCGGUGAAAUGCGUAGAGAUGUGGAGGAACACCAGUGGCGAAGGCGGCUCUCUGGACUGUAACUGACGCUGAGGCGCGAAAGCGUGGGGAGCAAACAGGAUUAGAUACCCGCGUAGUCCCUGUCUCAUACACA
rnacentral:rRNA from 1 species